GCUUAUGCUCAAAUUCCUUCUGACUCAUCCAGGAAUUCCCCAGGGAAUGUUCACGUGGUCCUAACAAGAUUCAGAUGAAUGCUGGGAAAUGCAGAGGAUGCAGGGGAAUACAGAGAAAGGCUGGGAAACAGUCAUGUGGUCUUAACAAGAUGCAGAGACCCAGGCUAAGGACAAUAAGAGCACCUGAGAAUUCUGUGAGAUUCAGAGAAGGUAAGCAAAUUGCCCAGGCUAACGCAACCAGUAAGUUGCCAAAUAGGAUUCAGCCCAAGUGUGUCUGACCACAUGGACUGUGCCUUACAUGAUCAAUAUUUGAUGACAGUGUUUCCC